GACGUAGGGGGCGAGCGUUUAUCCGGAGUUACUGGGCGUAAAGCGCCCGUAGGCGGUACCACGCGUUUUGCCUGACAGCUGCCGGCUUACCUGGCAGAGGGGGCGAAAGACGGUGGCACUUGAGCACCAGAGAGGGACCUGGAAUUCCGGGUGGAGCGGUGAAAUGCGUAGAGAUCCGGAGGAACACCAAAGGCGCAGGCAGGGUCCUGGCUGGUGGCUGAGCGCUGAGGGGCGAAAGCCAGGGGAGCGAACGGG
rnacentral:rRNA from 1 species